UACGUAGGGGGCUAGCGUUGUCCGGAAUCAUUGGGCGUAAAGCGCGUGUAGGCGGCCCGGUAAGUCCGCUGUGAAAGUCGGGGGCUCAACCCUCGAAUGCCGGUGGAUACUGUCGGGCUCGAGUACAGAAGAGGCGAGUGGAAUUCCUGGUGUAGCGGUGAAAUGCGCAGAUAUCAGGAGGAACACCAAUUGCGAAGGCAGCUCGCUGGGACGUUACUGACGCUGAGACGCGAAAGCGUGGGGAGCAAACAGG
rnacentral:rRNA from 1 species